rnacentral:sRNA from 1 species
AUGGACAGGCACUUGCUGUUGCCUGGUCUGCUCCUGUCCCUUCCUCUGACCGCAGGCUGGACCAUCUCCAAUAGCCUGGUGACUGAAGGCUCCUGGCUGUCUCUGGUCUCCCGCUUCUUCCUCAUUUGCCUCUUGGACUCCAGCCUGCCCUUCCUCACCACAUGCCUCUCAGUGAUCAACUUGGUGCGGGCCUUGGAAACUGUGCUGCAGAAUGUGGAGGGUCUCUGUCAAUCUGGUUCCACUUCUGUUCUGCCUCAGGAUGCCUUCUCCGGCUUUCCUGGGCUCAAGGUCCUGGGGCUGAAUCUGCAUCUCACCCAGCUCCUGCCAGGAGCUCUCUGGGGUUUGGGGCAGCUGCAUUAUCUCUUUCAUAGCUCCCACCACGGGAGGAUUCAUCUUCCUACCGCUGAUGCCUUUGGUGACCUGAGAUCCCUCCAGGACCUUGCUUUCUUGGGUUCCUGCCCGGAUGGGAGCUUGGGUGUCCGGUUGCCUCCCAGUCUGUGAUGGCUGUCGAUCAGGUAUAAUUUCCUUCAGAAUGUGGGGGUUGCUGGCUGAUGUCUUCUCAGAUCUGGUGCAUGGCCCCUCCUCUGGGGAUGCCUGGGCCUUGGACAUGUUGGACCUGUCAUUCAAUAGUAGGCUGAAGCUGGCCAGUCCUGGAGCCUUCCAGGGCCUCAAGCUGGGGACUCUGAAUCUGGACCACACAAAGAUGAAGGCAGUUGCACUGGUGGGACUGGGGCUGCAGAGAUUGGAUGUCCUGUGACACUCACUGACAUGGCUGAGCUGCCUGCCAGGACGGUUGCCCAUUUUGAGCUUCAGGAGCUGAAUUUGGGGAUUAAUCAGACAGGGCACAUAGCCCUGGAAGGCCUGGCUUCCUGUCACAGCCCGAAGAGCUCGGGUCUUCAGAGCAAUGGCCUGAUUGAGUUACCACGAGGUUUCCUGGCUGCCAUGCCCAGGCUUCAGAGACUGAACCUGGCCAACAACCAACUGAGGAGCGCCAUGUUGUGUAUGAAUGAGACAGGGUUUGUGUCAGGAUUGUGGGCCCUGGAUCUGUCCAAGAAUAGGCUGUGUACCCUGUCCCCAGUCAUCUUCUCCUGUUUGCCCCACCUGUGGGAGCUGCUACUUCAAGGGAACCAACUGGUUUGCUUGAAAGGCCAGGUAUUCCAGGGCCUACAGAGGCUACAGACCUUGAACUUGGGCAGUAAUCCACUGGUAACCCUGGGUGAGGGCUGGCUGGCUCCUCUGCCUACACUGACCACCCUAAACCUGGUAGGUACUCACAUGGUGCUGAGCCCAACCUGGGACUUCCAGGGCCCAGAAAGUCUGCACAGCUUGAGAAUACAGUUUCCCUUUGGCCCUGCGGGAAUAGCAUUUUCCCUGCUCACAAGACUGACUAGCUUGGAGCUCCAUGCAGUUUCAGGCAUGAAGCAUUGGAGGUUGUCUCCUAAUGUCUUUCCAGUCUUGCAGAUCCUGACUUUAAAGGGCUGGGGACUGCAGCUAGAGACCCAGAAUAUCUCCAAGAUCUUCCCUGCUCUUCAUCAACUCUCCCUGCCGGGCAGUAGGUUGGAGCCCCUCUGUUCCCAGGACACCUCCAGCUUCUUCCUCUGGCAGCUCCCCAGGCUCAAGUCCUUGAAGGAUGGGGAAACAGGCAUAGCCCUAGGCCCUGCUGCAUCAUGGGACUGCCCAGCCUACAGGAGCUGAAGCUGCAGGCACUGCAGUCUCAAGCACGCCCCUGUCCAGUGCAGCUUGAGGAGCUGGUGGGUGAGUUGCCCAGGCUUGAUGUGCUGCAGCUAUCCCAAACAGGGUUGGAGACACUGUCUGCUGCUGCUUUUGGGGGCCCAGGCAGUCUCCAGGUCUUAGUACUAGACGGCGAGAAAGACCUCAUCCUGAAUGACAGCCUCCAGGAGGAUAGUCCUCGGAUGCCCCAGUACAUCUAUAUUCUGACUUCAUCCUUGGCCUGCCAGUGUGCCAAUGCCUGGGUGGGGCCUUGGCUUUAGCAGUCCCCCAGAACAUACAUGCACAUAGUAUCACAGCAGCUGUGCCAUUCAGAAGCUGGGGGCCACUCAAAUAAUCUCUUUUUCCCUUUUCUCUGGAGCCACUGCCCCAAGACUUUGGGGUUGGGGCUCUUUUUUUGCGCAGCUCUGCCCUGCUGCUUCUGCUAGUCUACUUGCCCUUCCUAAAGGAAGCCAGGAAUUCCUGGAUCCUCUAACUCCAGGCCUUGCUCAGGGUUUGGUUCCAGAGUCUGAGGAGUCAGAAGGGUAAAGGCAAGAGGUUCCUCUAUGACGUGUUUAUGUCCCACAGCAGGCAAGACCAGGGGUGGAUGGUGCAGGAGCUGCUGCCUGCUCUAGAGGGCUGCCCUCCAGCUGGCCGGGGGCUGCCACUCUGCCUCCCUGAGUGGGAUUUUGAGCCAGGCAAGGAUGUGGCUGACAAUGCAGUAGACAGCAUGGUGGGCAGCUGGGUCACGCUCUGUGUGCAGAGUCACCAGGCCCUGUACACCCCCUGCUGAUGCCUGGAGCUCCUCCUGGCCACCUCCUUUCUGCUGGCUGCCCCCCACCCCCCAAGGGUUACUGCUGGUCUUCCUGGAGCCCAUCUUACGCCACUAUCUGCCCUGCUGCCAUAGAUUGGCCUGGUUGCUCCGCUGAAGAGACUAUUGCAUGUGACCCAAGGAAGAGGAAAGAAAGAAUGACUUCUGGGCUUGGUUAGGGAGCAGGCUG